ACUGGGGGGUCCCCAACCGGACCCUGCAAGAGUGCCACCCUUGAUUUUUGCAGCAGCGUUUGUUUCCCUUGGUGGCUCUGGCCGCCGUCGGGGAUCCCAAAAAAACCCUUUUCACCAGUACCUCUGUCAGUCAAACGACAGCAUUAA
rnacentral:misc_RNA from 1 species